UCCACAUGUCCCACGAUGCCACUCUUAUCGUCCACUCCCCCGGUGCAGUCAGGUAUAAGUGAAAACUUACAUUCUUCUUCUUCUUCUGGUACUUCCAUCCGGGUGUCUUGCUGCUCUAUUUUAAUAGAGGCAGCCUCUGACACUGUGUAAUAAAUAUUUUCAUUAACAAUUAUCUGCAAACGCAACAGAAAUUAUGUAAGAGUAUUACCUGUGGCUGCUGCAGAUCACCCGGGAUUUCAGCUGUUCAGGUGAAAGCAGUGACAAAUUAGGGUUGUCACAUGCUUCCACCCACUGCACCA